rnacentral:lncRNA from 1 species
AGCCCACCAAUGACCUUGCCAUUGCAUGUUAGUUGUUUCCCUUAUACCUGUAACAUUUAUUCAUUGAUCUCAUUUUUAGCUGAGCUGUGAUCGGCUUAUCAGCAUGCCAUUUGUUGGCUGUAUGUGUAGUAUUCCUUUGGAAUGAAAUGCAGAAAAUUUUCUUGUAGAGAACAGGACUAGUACUUCAACUUUUUUAUCCAUAAUGUGGAUUUUUCACGGUAACAAUAAAUCAAAGCCAUGUAUUACCUGUACUAAUAAUGCACCUGCAGCAUCACCAAAUUGAAUACACAUCCCUCUGGCAAUCCAAUCCACAACAUAUCGAGAAGGAGAUCGAAUCAGCUCCAAUCACCAGGACAUGCAUUUUGGAACCUACCCCCUGCAAUUUCAACAAGUACACCUUAUGACUGAAAACAAGAAAAGCAAUUAAGCAAACCAUAUGAACUAAUCACCNNNNNNNNNNNNNNNNNNNNNNNNNNNNNNNNNNNNNNNNNNNNNNNNNNNNNNNNNNNNNNNNNNNNNNNNNNNNNNNNNNNNNNNNNNNNNNNNNNNNAGGCUUAACAUUUUUGACAAGAAGUAGACAAAUCUGUCAAGGAUUAAGAGAUCGACUGUAUUAAAUCAACAUGCAUGCUACUUCACAACCUAUGAUGAAAUGUUCUGACAGUUAAAAAUCAUUCUGUGUAACUAUCAUUACUCAUUAAGUUGUCCCCAUAGAAUUACUCUUUUUCUUCAUUCCAUGAUUCUUGAAAAUUCGACUAGUGCACAUGUGACAUCUCUGCCUUGUCAUCUUUCUUAUCCUAACACGUAGAUAUUUUGGACAUAUAUUAUUAUUUAUCCAUGACACUUGGUUCACCUCAACGCACAACAAGUAAUAUGGUGGCAGGUGGGAGUGACUGAUCGAUGUUUCUGAAGAGAUAAUUGUAUAUGAGUAAUUCUAUGGGGACAACGACCUAAUGAGACAGACUAAGAAACCAGCCUGAUGUGGAUGCUGACGUGGCUAGUCCACGUCAACAAAAAAAAUUGCCUUCUAUCUCUCCUCGUCCUACACUUCUCUUUCCAAUAUUCUAGGUACGAAAAAAAAAAAAAAAAUUCACGAACAGUUCUCUCCCUAAACGGCUAAACCCCAGUUGCUCGUCUACUCUUUAUUAUUUUCUCUUUGGAAUCUCAAUCUCGCUCACUUCUUUCUCUAUCACUUGAAAGAGUUCUCUCUUCCUUGCUUUGUCCAACGUACACUUGUCUGCGCUCUUAUUUUUGAUGUUUGAACCAGGUUUUCUCUUUUGUUCAUCCAAAUUUUUUCAGCUAGAACAUGGUGUGGAUCAGUCCCACAACCAUUACGUAGUUGUUGUCUAUUGAGGUGAACCAAGUGUUUAAUGUGUCAUGGAUAUAUAGAUAAUAAUAUAUGUCCAAAAUAUCUACGUGUUAAGAUAAGAAGGAUGACACUAGUAAAUUUUACAAGAAUCAUUGGUAAUCAAAAGAAACGUUGGAUUCUAAACCUUAGCUCCACGGUUGCAUGAGAAUGAUAGAUUGGCCUAAAUUUCAUGUGAGAACAAAUAUAUCUGGAUAAACCAUUUUAAACUUCACGUUAAGUUCAAACAUUUUUGAACAAAACAAAGUGGAUAAGUCUAAACUCUUUGCCACGUAUUUCCACCGUGGCUGGUUCUACGCCUCUAUGUCUAUUGGAUAACCUAGUUUGACCUUUUUUAUAUAAUGGAUAAACCUGGUGGUAGGACGUGGUGUUCAUUGAAUCUGACUCAGCGGUACUAGUUAAAUAAUGCCUCCAACAUCAUGACAAAGGUUACGAUGUCGCAUGUUCUUUAGAGGUGCAAGUGUUACGGUAGCAGACAACAUAUAUUCUUCACCGGCCUUAUGACGAUCGAAGAGCUCACAAUGUCGAAUAUGGUUGCAACAAACUCUCAAUUCAAGAAAGACUCUGAUUACUUUUUCCUUCAUUCACUACCUAUACCACAUACACAAAAAGCUCACAUCCAUUUAUCUCAAAUCAAAUUCUAUUGCGGGUGCGCUUAAAGAGAUUUUUAAGAUAGCCUUACUUUUUAAAUAAAAAAAAUACCCCAUUCAUAGAGCAAAACACGAGGACAUCCCAGGAGGUCACCCAUCCUACGACUACUCUUGCCUUUUUAUGGUGCCUUCACUGAAAGUUACAUUCCCUUCUUAUGCCUUGGAUGGAGGAUUGGUGGAUUGUAUGAAACUACAUGGAAGCAAAUGUUGCAGCUGAUGCUUUAAUUUGGCCAAGGAUGUCGCUACACAUGUCAGCUGGAAUAGCUUUCAUUCCCUAGCAAAAUAUUUAUAUCUUUGAAGAAAUCCUUAGUCCAUGAUGAUGAUGAUUUUUUUUUUAAUUUUUAUUUUUUUGCAGGAAUAACUUUCAUUCUCUUGUAGAUUAUAUGAAUUAUUGAGAAAGAAACUUGAACGUUUAGAUUUAUGACUUUGAAGCAAUGUUGAGUAUUUCAGUUAUAAAUUUCUUGAGUCUCCCGUAAUUACACGACAAAUAUGAAAAAAAAAAAGAGUUUGAAAAAAUUGGAAUGCUAUUGUGUCUUAUCGAAUUGGUUGUCGAUUGUGCCGAUGAAGUAAUUGAUCUGGCCAAGAAACAUUGGAACAGGUGUUUAUGUGACAAAAAUAAUGCUUUUGACCUCAUAUUAAUCUGAAAUGGAUAGAAUUUGAGAAAAAAUAGUGGAGACAAAUAACCGACUCCAAUUAACCGCCCAUUUUCAUAUUCUUACAUUUGUGUUUUAUAAUUCAACGAAUGUUUGUUGAGUGGGUACCUAUCUAAAGAGAAAAGAAGAUCUAGAUACCUUAUGUGCACUUUUAAAAAAGUGUAUAGCUAAUCAUAGUCAAAAUCUUAACCUAUAAAUUGUGGAAUUUUCAAUGUUAGAGGUAGUAAUUUAAAUUUAAUUGUUUCCCAAGCAAAGAGGAAAGAGCUGGGCUAAGCCAACCAACAUCGACAUAUAGCAAGCUAGGCUACAAAAAAAUUCUCAUUCAAAACUGAGAAAAAAAAAAACACGUCAACCAAGUGAUUGUUUAAUAAAAAGUUUCCUCACGUAAUUAAAAAACGUAGACGUCUCCUCCAACCUUACUUAUCAAUAAAAACAUAAUUAAAGCCAUUAACUAAUUAACUGCCGGUAGUGUUAUCCAAUCUAAUUGUUUCCCAAGCAAAGAGGAAAGAGUUGGGCCAGCCAACAAACAUCGACAUAUACCAAGCUAGGCUACAAAAAAAAAAGUUCCCAUAGAUUCAGAUUUAUUCAAUCCAAUACCACUCAAAUAGUACUACAGUAGUGUUCUUUGACACACUUGGACGGCUCUACCUUGGCUCCACAACAUAUGACUCACACUUUGAUACACUAGCUAGACACAACACAACACCUUUUUCUUCUUAUUUAAACCCUCCCCCCCUCUCACAAACUCUUCAUUCACUCCUUCCAAGUUCCAUCCUCAUACACAACUUUCUUUUUUCUUGCUCUCACCUACCACAUUCCAUUAUAAUGGAUUCAUCAAUCAAAGAUCUUGAAGGUGCUAACAAUAACACACCUCUCUUAGAUCAAAUAACAACAACCCAAAGGAAAUCAAAGAGUGUUUUAAUAUUUUCUUUGGUACUUUUGUUUUUAGGUAUAGGUAUGAUUGGUUUACUUGUCAAUCAUAACUAUACAUCUUCAUCUGAUGAUCAAAUCCCAAAGUUAGAAAUAGUAAAGAAAUUUGUAUCUCGAGGUGUAUCUGAAGGUGUUUCAGAGAAAAAAUUCAACUUAUUUUCUGUUGAUGAAGAAGCUUCAUUAUUAUUAUUAUCAUCAUAUCCAUGGGAAAAUAACAUGUUGGUUUGGCAAAGAACUGCUUUCCAUUUCCAACCUACCAAAAAUUGGAUGAAUGGUUAGUAAUUUUGUGCAUUUUACCUUAUCUAAACUCACUUUAUUUUUGAUACAGUACACUUUGUUAUUGUUUACUUAUACUGACUCGACUUUUUUUCUUGUCUUGUUAUUGCUCUGUUCGUGAUGAUUUCUUUUGGUUUACAUCUCAGAUCCUAAUGGUAAGUUAAUUAAAGUUUAUUCCUUUUGGUUUUCUGGUGAAAUUUAAUGUUAUUCUGCUCUUGGAGCACCAUAUCACUGUUAAAUAAAUCUGGAGAAAAACAGUUGGAAACAUUUAAGCUAAGCUAUUGCCUAUUGGUCUAUCUGACGUAUAUGUCGGAAAGAUAUACCUUACUUGCCGACUAUUCUCUUUUCAGCCGAUUUAUUUGAAGUGGAAUAAAAACAUCGUUUGACCACACAACAUAGAACAUAAUGGAUCAGAUGGUCCCACCAAUAUAAGGUUUAGAUCAUAUGGUCCCACCAUCAUAACAUAAUAUUGGAAAUUUAGAACCAAUGGCUCUUUCACCGUUUUUUCCAACUUGGACUUUUUUUUUUUAAUUAAAUUAAUUUAUUAAAUUAAUACUCAAAAAUCAAAUAAAACCUUAUGUCUUAAUCAUGAAAUUUGCAUUGAUGCAGGUCCUUUGUUCUACAAGGGUUGGUAUCACUUCUUCUACCAGUAUAACCCCAAUGGAGCAGUAUGGAACAACAUAGUAUGGGGUCAUGCAGUAUCGAAAGAUAUGAUAAAUUGGGUUCAUCUUCCCUUUGCCAUGGUACCUGAUCAUUGGUAUGACAUUGGCGGUGUCUUUACAGGGUCAGCAACUAUUCUCAAAGACGGUUCAAUUGUUAUGCUCUAUACUGGAGCUACCAAAGAGAUGUAUCAGGUCCAAAAUGUCGCAUACCCUGCCGAUCCAUCUGAUCCAUUGCUUAUAAAUUGGGUCAAAUCCUCUGCAAAUCCAGUCCUAGUCCCACCAGCUGGAAUUGGUAUGCAGGACUUUCGUGAUCCCAGUACGGCAUGGUCAACACCAAAUGGAAACUGGAGAUUCACAAUUGGAUCAAAAAUUAACAAGACUGGGAUUUCUCUUAUUUAUGAGACAAAAGACUUUGUUAACUUCACACUUUUAGAUCAAUGGCUACACCAAGUUCCUGAUACUGGAAUGUGGGAAUGUAUCGACCUUUAUCCUGUGUCACUGACCGAUAUGAAUGGCCUUGACACGUCUGUUACUGGUAACGCCCUUGCAAUUAAACAUGUUCUGAAGGCUAGUCUUGAAGAUGUCAAAGUUGAUUAUUAUGCUCUUGGAAGCUAUGACAUCGAGAAAAACGUUUGGACUCCAGAUGAUCCUAAGUUAGAUGUCGGAAGUGAGCUUAGAUAUGACUAUGGAAAAUUUUACGCGUCUAAGACCUUUUAUGAUCAGAACAAACAGAGGAGACUACUUUGGAGUUGGACUGGAGAGUCUGAUAGUGAAGAUGCUGACAUUAUGAAGGGAUGGGCAUCUCUUCAGGUAAUAUUUUCUUACAUUUCUAGCACUGCCAGUAGAUGACCAAAAGUUUGAUAGUGAAGAUGGUCUUAAUAAUGCUCUAAAUGUUUUUAUGCUGGUAAUAUUUUACAGGCUAUUCCAAGGGUGGUUCUAUUCGACAAUAAGACGAAAACCAAUUUGCUUCAAUGGCCUGUUGAAGAGGUAGAGAGCUUGAGAUCGAACAAGAAAGAAUUCAACAACUUGAAACUUGCGGCUGGAUCAGUUUUACCUCUUGAUGUUGCCAAAACAGCACAGGUUUGUAACUUUCUAUAGCUUUAAAAUUAUCAUCAAAAUCCCAAAAACAUUCUUAGGCUCACAUUUGUUAUGGUGACAGUUGGAUAUAAUUGCCGACUUCGAGGUUGAUAAGGGUGCGUUGGAAGGAGUCAUGGAAGCUGAUGUUGGCUACAACUGUCCCACAAGCAAUGGGGCUUCUGGAAGGAACGCAUUGGGACCAUUCGGUCUAUUAGUCCUUGCAAACGAUGGUCGUUCGGAGCAGACAGCUGUUUACUUUUACAUAUCAAAAGGCAAAGAUGGAAAUCUCAAGACAUUCAUCUGCACUGAUUUAUCCAGGCAAUUUGCUAAAUCUUUACCAACAAUUUUCCCUAUCCAUGGAUGAUAUACAAUCUUAUCCAAUUUAAGGUCUGAUAGUGCAAUUCUGACUGAAACUGGAUUUUGUUGCAGAUCUUCAAAGGCCACGGAUGUCAGUAAAGAGAUUUAUGGAGGAAUAGUUCCGGUGCUUGACAAUGAAAAACUCUCUGUGAGAAUAUUGGUAAGUUGACGAUUUUCUUUGAAAGGAACAAGUAAACACUUAUACACUUGGAUACAUCGCAAAAACUUUACGUACACAACAUAAACCCUAUAGAAGAAAUUUGAGAGGUAUACUUACUCUGUUUGGAAUAUGUUUAAUCUAGGUUGAUCACUCAAUAGUUGAAGCCUUUGCUCAAGGUGGGCGAACUUGCAUUACAUCUCGGGUAUAUCCAACAGAAGCUAUUGGAGGAGCAGCUCGAGUGUUCCUUUUCAACAACGCUACUGGAACUGGUGUUACUGCCACUUCAGUCAAAAUAUGGGAAAUGGAACAUGCAAUGAUGAAAUCCUACCCUGGACUCUGAUCAACAAAAGGCGCAUAUGUUUUACAUAAAUCCCAUCGAAUUCAGUCAACCAAAGACCUUGCAAUUCCUUGUCAGCUAUCUCCCUUAUACCUGUAGAGUAAUUCAAUGAUUGCAUUUUCAGCUAAGCUGUGAUUCCUUCGGCCGUAUGUAAAUUAGCAUACUAUUUGGCUGUAAAUUAGCAUGCCAUUUAGCUGUAUAGCAAUAUCCCUUAUGAAUGAAAUGCAGAAAAUUUUAUUGUAGAGAACUAGAAUGUUACUUUAAACUCUUUAUCAAAAAAAAAAAAGCCUUUUUAUCCAUAAUGCAGAAUCUUUAGUAGCUUUCUGUCAGAUGAUCGCCUAAGAUAUUUAAUGGGCAAAUAGGUUUCUGACUGUCAGGGAAACACCAUUGUUGCAAUUUUCAAUCAAGUUUACAGUGGCUUUUCUAUAGUAUAAUUGUAAUAGAAUCCAUCCAACAAUCCUUGAGCUCAAAUGUUGAAAACUUGACAGGGUCUUUUCUCAAAAUAACGACCCAGCAAUAACACUGCUGAUGGAUUGAGGGGUGAGGACUGAGGAGGGUUGUUAUAGUUCUUUGGAGAAUGCUGAACAAAUGAAAUGAGCACACAAUCUUAGCAAACCUUUGUAGCAGAAAGACCAACCUCUAAGAGCAAAUGUGAGAGAGAGGGGUUUCAGGAUUGCUUAGGUCGCCAGAAAUGUUUCCCUAUGUUGCCGAAAGGGUACUAAACAGGACACGGUCUGCAGACUUCGUCAUCGACUCAUAUUGGAUACAAUACUAAUGACGGAGGAGAUAUAUUAAGUGUCUCAUGUAUGAUUCACAAGAUAAUAUAGUGGCACCAGUAUAUUAUUUCACUUAGCAACCAACUAGGAUCUGCAUCAAUUGGUUGAUCCCAGGGUUACCAUAAAUCGCUCACAUACCCACGAUUUGCGAUUUGGAACGUGUGUUCCCAAUAGCAAUACGUUUUACUUUCUCAGUAGUUUCUCCUAUCUAAGGUUUCUGUAGAUUUCAUAAGGUGGUCCUGUAUCGGUCCUGCUUGAUACGAUCCAACGGGCCAAGAGUCACUUUAAUAUAGAAGAAUUUCAAUUAAACUAAAACUCCUUAGUUUUAGAUUUAAAUCUCCUGAUUUUUAGGUAAUAAAUAUAUUAGAAUAAGAUAUUGAGUCCUAGAGAUUAACCACAACGUGAAAAUUAGCUUUAGAAACCCAAAACAAAAUUCUCGUAUUCUUAAAAUUUUAAAACAAAAGAGCAUGAGGGUCUCAUCACUACUCCACUUCCAUCCAAUAUCCUAGUCUGAGUAUAUACUUACUCAACCACUAUCCAAUUUGGAUGGAUGGCUACAUCAAGUUCCUGGUACUGGAAUGUGGGAAUGGAUCGACUUUUAUCCUGUGUCACUGACAGAAAUGAAUGGUCUAGACACAUCUGUUAAUGGCCCUGAAGUUAAGCAUGUUCUGAAGGCUAGUCUUGACGAUGGCAAAAAUGAUUAUUAUGCCCUUGGAAGCUAUGAUAUCAAGAAGGAUGUUUGGAAUCCAGAUAACCCUGAGUUGGAUGUCGGAAUUGGGCUUAGAUAUGACUACGGAAAAUUUUAUGCAUCAAAGACCUUUUAUGAUCAGAACAAACAUUGGAGAAUACUGUGGGGUUGGACUGGAGAGACCGAUAGUGAAUACGCCGACGUCAAGAAGGGAUGGGCCUCUCUGCAGGUACUGUUUCUUACUUUUCAAGCAUUGUUGUUAGAUAAUUACUGAAGUACUCGAAAGGCAUUGGUGUUGGUUACAUCGGUCAAUCCUCUGGCUUAAUUCUUAAUAUAAUGCUCUAUAAUAUUUUAUGCUGGUUGUGCUUUACAGACUGUUCCAAGGGUGGUUGUAUUUGAUCAUAAGACUAAGACCAAUGUGCUUCAAUGGCCUGUGGAAGAGGUAGAGAGCUUGAGAUCGAACAAGAGAGAAUUCAACAAAGUGAAACUUGGAGCUGGAUCAAUUGUACCUCUCGAUGUUGGCAGAGCCUCACAGGUUUGUGACUUCUUAUAGUUUGAGAAUUGUAUUAACCUAUUUCUAGAUUAAUGCAUCAACAGGGUCAGGUCGUUGUGGAGACUUGACCAAAUGGGGGUGUUUGAGAUCGGGGUGGCUGCACCUCGUUGAGAUCGAGAUUGCCUACGUACUCUAGCUCGGGGGAAUUCAACUUCGAGAUCAAGCCAUCGUAGUUCUGUUUAUAUAGAAGAUAGAAGGGCGUGGAUCGUGGAUCUUGCAGAUUCUCCGCCAUCAUAAUGAGGAAUAAAUGAGUAACGCGCGCGGAUCAUCCCUGUGAAUUAAUUAUGUAACUGAUGAGAAUAUUCUGUGCAUUGAAUGAGAGCACGUGUGUAUAGCAGGUCGCUGCUCGUUGUGUGGUCAGGACGCUUCGGUCGAGCUGCUAGACGGUAGAGACCGUGGCGACCUGAUGGAUGGAUGACUGUGCCACGUGGCUGCUUUUGAUUGGUCGAAGUAUGUAGUACCCCUACAUAAUGAGAAACUACAAAUAGUGCUAAUCUAACAGUUCAAUAUUCAAACAACUUAAACGAUAUGCAGAAAGUAAAUAACACACAGAAAUUUUUAACGUGGUAAAACCCAAUAUGGGAAACGUCCACGGUUGUCCUCUCGACAACAAAUAAUCCACUAGAUGAAAAGAGAUGUACAAACCUAUCAACUACCUGCACUCACUGCGAGUUGAUACUCCUGGUUAUCUCUAACACCUUGACUUCACCAGAGCACCUUGAUGUACGCACAAGACACUCGACUUCUUGAUGAACACACAAGAAGACUCGAAGCCGAUCUAUGUAACAAGCUUACACCAGAGUUCCUUGAUGAACACACAAGGAUACUCGACUUCUUGAUGAACACACAAGAAGACUCGAAGCUAAAUCAAUAUAAACAAUAAUGAAGAAGAAGAUGAAUGGGGAAGAAGAAGAUGAGUUCAAUCACCAAAACCACCUAAACCAAAACCUAAACAAACUCCAAGAAACAAGAGGUGAAUUGGACGGCCAAAGAACUGACUUGUUCUUUGGAAGAGAAACCCUAUUUAUACUUAGGGUUGGAAACCAAAGAAAAUGGGCCGAAUUAGUGAAAACCCAUAUUGGACGUACGUACGUCGAUAUGACGUUCGUACGUCUCCAAACGAAAAUAAGCCUGCUGACUACAUGGACGUACGAACGUCCUUACAAGGUACGUACGUCCAGACCACAAAUUAUCUUGCUGACAUACCAUACGUACGUACGUCCUUAAGCAGUACGUACGUCCUGAACCAAACACCAAACUUGAGACACACGACGCGAAGACAAGGACAUGGGACGACGCGCGUACAAUCAGGUUUUCUUAACAAUGAACUCAAGGCGAAAUAACCAAGGACACUUUGUCACAAAAUUGAUGUCAAACCACUUCGUGCCGGUUUCAAUCUCCCCCUUUGAGAUUGAUUUUGUGACAAAAACCUAUGACUCUAAUAGCACUUAUAAAAUGUGCUUACAAACCCAAACCAUGACAUUUAUAAAACAUGCCUACAAAAUCACUCAAGGUAGAAUACAUACCGAGUCACCAACACAUGAUAUCCAGCUUGAGUAAGACGCUUUAACCAUCAGAGACCGAACGGAAGCAACAAGAAUUUCUGAAACAAUCAUAGAGCCAACGAACAAGAAAUUCUGAAACAAUCAAAGAGCCAACGGAAGUUCCUCGAACAACUCCCCCAUACUUCAUGAGCUCCAAGGUUUAAUACUCGAGCUUACCCAAAACUGUACAUGCAUUUUGUGAUCAUCAUCACUUUCACUCCCCCAUACAUGUAGUAUACCUGAAACAUGACCCAAAACUAUACAACCUCUAAACAUCAACACGUUCACUCCCCCAUACGUGUAGCAUACCUGAAACAUGACCCAAAAAUACACUAACAAAGAAGAAGAAGGUGUUAGUAUUAAAGUCAUAAAUCUCCCUCUUUUUGUCACAAAUGAAGCAAGGUAACAAAAGAAAGAGAAAAGAAAAAAUACCAAACCAUAACAAAUAAGAUUAAAGAAGAAAAGAAAGAGAACAAUCAUGUUAACAACAAAAAGGAUAUGCAACGGAAGCCAUAACAUAAACACCUGUUAACACGAUGUCAAUACAAAGAAUUCUCCCCCUAAACAAAAUCUUCACCUAAAUGCAAUGCAUAUGAGAAAGAUACACCUAGAACAAACAAACCAAAUAAGGAUAUUUGAAACACACAAAGAACCAAGCAUACAAGGUAGAAAAGAGUAAAGAGAAAACCAUACCAUAGAUCUGGAAUCCAUGACACACAAAACUAAAAAAACAUGAGAGAGAUCUAGGCAUAUAAAUGAAGAAGAAAGAGCACCAACACAGACACAAGAAGGAAGAUUAGAUAAGAACCAAAACGAGAUAAGAAGGAGAUAGUGAAAAGACACUGAAUACUUAUAUAGGUAACAGAGGGAAGAAAAGAAAACAUAACAUGAAUCCCUGAUAGAAACCAAGAGAAACCUAUACAUAGAAGAAAGAGUCAGGACACCAACAAUCGGAACAAAUGAUUCACUAGAAUAUCACUUUAAACAACCGACCAUAACCACCUGAGAUAGAUUCCAGAGAAACGACUCCAUAGUAGCAAGUUAUCUAGAGAAAAAGAUCAAACAAACAAAAAGGAAGAAAUACCAUACGUGAUGAAAUUGGGAAGGUACAAUAAUGACCAAGAACCAAAUAGUCAAACCUGUGAGAAAUGUGCAAGAAAAGAAUAUGCGAAAAGAGAAAGAAGAAGAGAUAAACAAUAGUUAGUAGGAGAUAUGAAAGAGAAUAGGGAAACCAUGCAUAUUAGACACAUCCAACAAUAUCCCAUGACAAAACUACAGGAAUAUGAGUAUCUGCAAGAAGAGAUACGUAAAGUAUAAGAAAAUCCAUUGAGAAUCCAUGGGGAAAUCCAAUCUGUACAUGUUCCUGAAACAACUCAUCCAACCACAAAAAAAAAAAAAAAAAUUAGAGAAUCUUAUAAACAAGGAGAAGAAAAUAUUAUCCCAAACACAACGGAAUAGAGACAUAAAAGGAAUAAACCUGUAAGCCCACCCCUAGUGAAACCCAAAAAUUAGUUUAACAUAUGCCAAACAAGAUAAGCAAUCAUCAAGCUCAUAAAAAAAAUGUUUUAACUGAAGAAUGAGCAAGGAUUAUCGAUGUCACCAAGUCACAAAACAACAAUCCAACUUCAGAGCAAAGUUCCUGCCUGCCAGAACACUAAGACUCCGAUGACAUGGCAUACAUUGUCAGAAGGAUUAGAGAGUCAAUAAAAGAGAAUUGCUAACAAUAGAUGACCAAACUGAGCAUAUGCAUCCCAAAGUAGAACAGUGGUAGCCCAGAACCAUUGCAUGAGGAUUAUUGCAGAAGACUACCAAGAACACAUCUAAUCAAACCUAUUGCAGGAAAAAAUAGGAUCAACCAGGCACAAGAAGCAACAAUAAGAGGAUAGGCAAGUCUCAUAAGCAUUUAAUCAAACACCAGCUAGCCAACAAGGUAAUUCAAGAAUAUUAGCCCAAUCAUAGAAAAGUAUGAUGAGAACCUAUGAGAAAACAUGAAUCAAUAUAAAUCAUGACAACCGAAUACACCAAUAACAUGAUUUCAUCACCAAAAUAUGCUUAUGCAUACCUUGUAGUCUUCUUAAAACAAAUUGAGAACUAUUACCUUGAGAAAUCACAUCAAACACAUGUGAUCCAAUGACAAAAAUAGAAAGCAUGAAGUGUAAAACCAAAUAAUACUAACAAUCUGACCUUAGUAUGUCAAUGAAACACCGACUGAAAAGAAUUACCAAGGAAUGGAACCAAAAUAGAGUAAGCCAUAAACACUUUCAGCAAGAACAUCUGCCUGUAAAGUUACUGAGAGAAAAAUAAAGUUGACGACACGCACAUUGUCCAUGAACAAGAAUCCGAAGGAAUGGCGCCUCUACUCCUUUGAGCACGAGGAGGACGUGUGCCCGACGACGAAGCACCCUUGGAACUGGGUGUUUCUUUGGUGGGAGUAGUCCGAGCUCGCUUAGGAGGCAUGUCCUGCACACACACAACAUUAUAAACACCACACAAGUAAGUAAAACCAACAAAACAACCAAGAAAAACCUUAGGAAACUCCAUUCAGGCAUUUCACCAAACACUUGGUGAGCAAUACAGAACAUAUAGGCAAAAACACUACAUGAGCAUACCAAAAUGAUACUAAACAUGUCCAAGAAACUCCACAACCAUUAAUAAUCACAAGAAGUUCCAAAAUUAUUUAGACAACAAGUAUAUAUCCAAUGGUAUGAACCCAACAUGAUCAUGGUAAACAAACUCUUAAUCCAAAGCAUAACAGACAAAUAAUAAUGUAGCAUCAAGAUAAAAUGAAAAACCUUGCUGCCUGAACAUGCGUACGAACGUUAUAACACCGUUCGUACGUUCCCCCCCAAAAAAAACAUCUGCCUCCACAAACAUUCGAACGUGCUAAUAACGUUCGUACUCCCUUCUUUUUUUUUUUUUUUUUUUUUUUUUAAACAAUAGAGAACUAACCUUAAUAACAGAAAAACAAACCGAAUAACUAACAACACAAACCAUAAUAAGAAGAUAAAAGGAAAAGAACCGAUGUACCAUAAAAGUGAAGAGGAAUACAUCAUGAACUUCCAAAACAGUAGCCAAUCCCAAUUCGUACAAAAAUAAGAGGCAAUAUAUGGGGAUAAACAAAAGAUUGAACAAAUAAGAGAAUUGAAGUGCAUCAUAAACUAAACCUCGGUGUGUGUAGAUGCAAUGCAAUGCAUAAAGAGAGAGAAAGUUCACCACUAGAACACACCCUUUGAAGACCUAGAAUAUAGAACCAUCAACAAGAGACAUACGAUUAGAUUAGUAAGUGAGCAUAGAAGAAACAAACUUCAACCCCCUUUGAAACAAACGUUAUGAGUAGAAGGCAAACGAAUAUAAAUAUAAUCUUUCAAGUGAAAACCAAGACAUUAAAAAGGCAAAGGAAUAUAAACUUUGUAUGCCUUACAUAAAAAAAUGAAUAUGCGCUUGGAUUUUUAUUUUGCCGCAUGUGGUGAGUUUAGUCUACAUCACUCUAAUGUCAUUCCCGCGUGGGAGGGAUUUUUGCCUCCAUCUUUUCAAAUACACGAGGGUAGGGUGUAGCCUACAUCUUUUUGACAAACACAAACUCAAGAAGUGCAAUACCAUGAUAACGUGCAACACAAGAACUAACAUCUCUUGAGUGCAUCCGUCAGAGCAUGACCCUCACAACCCCAACGGGUUCUUAGCCAACUGAUAUUGCUUCAAAGACAAUCAAAUGGCUGGGGAUAAAGUGAGUCAUUGACCACUAACAAGAGUUGUAAUAGGAAGAUAAGAAUGUUCAAUAACACUAACAACAAGAUGAACAUUAACCAAAACAAAGGAGAGAUAGCUCAAGAUCACAUAAAUACUCGAGAGAUAGAGAAGUUCUAUGAGCUCAAAGAAUAUGUAAGUGGUUUCCAAAAACUCCCAUUAUGCAAGCAUGCCAUGCACUGUGCAAACAAGCGAGGAAAAAUGCAUGAUACAUACCAAAACAUACUUAAGAGUUCAGAAAGAGAAAACACCCAAACAUAUUGCAACUUAUUUAAGACAAUUGAAUUAAGCCAAUAUCUCAGAAAAGAUGUAACCAACAACACAUACAUGGAAUAAAUAAAGAAAAAUAGAAGGAAUAACCAACAAUGUAUUCAGACAUGCAACAUGAUCUGCAAGCUAAACAAACAAAGCAUAAAAAGUAGAAACACCAAACAAAUAGCCUAUGUGGUUAGAGAAAUAUGCAAUUCAAAUAACACAAGGCUAGAAACAACCUACAUCAUCCCAAAUAUGGGACACCACCAGACCUUUGCAAGUCCAGAAAAACCUUCAACUUAUCCUUUCUUACCCAUACUUGUUUAACACUAGGCGUGCACACCUUGGAAGUUGAAAAGAUAUGAGAUUUCUCCUUAACAAAUUUUUCAAUAGACUUGUCCUUAACUAAUUCCACCUUAGUCUUUGACUUCCUUUUGUUGGAAUACCUGUUUUUCUUAAACCUGUGACGAACACCACUAUAAUUCCAAGGUCUAGAAAAUGCACAAGAAGAAACAUUAGAAUCAACAUGAUUAUAAUGAUUAGGAACACGAGAAUAGGAUGCAUCAUGUUGAUUAAAAUCCCAACAAAAAAUAUCCAAAUGACCAACCCUACCACAAUAAGAACAAUGAAAAACAUUAGACUUACUCAAAGAAUUCUUAUAAGAAGAUGUGGUAGUGGUGGAUAAACCAUGUAUGUCACUAUUUGGUUUAUGACAUUGUCCCUUAACAAAACCCAUACCUCCCCUAUUAGAACAAGAUGGCUUACCAGCAAAAACAACCUUAUCAUUAGCCUUAGACUUAAACUUUGUGCAAGAAACAUGCUGAAAACUAUUAGUAUUAAGUCUAGUCUCAAUAGGCGGGGUAGGCAAAAGAGCAGGCAAACUAGAUUUUACAGAAGUAGUCACACUAGAUGAACGAGUAGAACUAGCAAUAGGAGAGUCAAAUCUAGUUUUGUCCAAAACCUGCAAUUUGAGUUGAGUAGACAUUAAACCGUUCUUUGUUACCUCAUACUCCACCAAUAGAGAUUUGUAUUUCUCAUCGACCUCCUGAUUGGCCUUCUCUAAAGCUGCGAUUCUACAUAACAAGUCAAGUUUUUCUUUGUCAAAUAAUUGAGAAAUAGAAAUUGCAUCAUCUGCAGCACAAGAAAUUUGUUUUUCAAGAAUCUCAAUUUUAUCCUGCAAAGAAAGAUUAGCCUUUUCCAAAUUUUUAAUUUUGGAUUCAUAAACUUCCCCUUGAAGCAUAUAGUCUUUUGCACAAUGUCUGAGUCGUUGUUCUAGAGAAUCAACCUUAGUCUGCAAAACACCAUUAUCUUCAAAACAAACAUUAUCAGAAAUAGUAGACACAUUACAAUUAGCUUUUUUAAAUUUUUCCUGCAAAUCAAUAUUAGCUUUUUGUAAUCUUUCACAUUCUUUUGCAGAAAGUCUGUAAAGAAGAGCCCAAUCACUAUUGCUAACAACAUACAAAUUAUCAUCCUUUUCAAAAUCAGAUUUUGGUUUUGUAGAUUUAGACGAUUUAACAAUAAAAUUAUUAUAACCAGACUCAUGAACCAUUAUUGCACUCAUAGGAUCGUUAGCGUGAGCCUUGACGCUCCUUAACCAUCCCCCAGCGACUGAUACCAAUUGAGAAACUACAAAUAGUGCUAAUCUAACAGUUCAAUAUUCAAACAACUUAAACGAUAUGCAGAAAGUAAAUAACACACAGAAAUUUUUAACGUGGUAAAACCCAAUAUGGGAAACGUCCACGGUUGUCCUCUCGACAACAAAUAAUCCACUAGAUGAAAAGAGAUGUACAAACCUAUCAACUACCUGCACUCACUGCGAGUUGAUACUCCUGGUUAUCUCUAACACCUUGACUUCACCAGAGCACCUUGAUGUACGCACAAGACACUCGACUUCUUGAUGAACACACAAGAAGACUCGAAGCCGAUCUAUGUAACAAGCUUACACCAGAGUUCCUUGAUGAACACACAAGGAUACUCGACUUCUUGAUGAACACACAAGAAGACUCGAAGCUAAAUCAAUAUAAACAAUAAUGAAGAAGAAGAUGAAUGGGGAAGAAGAAGAUGAGUUCAAUCACCAAAACCACCUAAACCAAAACCUAAGCAAACUCCAAGAAACAAGAGGUGAAUUGGACGGCCAAAGAACUAACUUGUUCUUUGGAAGAGAAACCCUAUUUAUACUUAGGGUUGGAAACCAAAGAAAAUGGGCCGAAUUAGUGAAAACCCAUAUUGGACGUACGUACGUCGAUAUGACGUUCGUACGUCUCCAAACGAAAAUAAGCCUGCUGACUACAUGGACGUACGAACGUCCUUACAAGGUACGUACGUCCAGACCACAAAUUAUCUUGCUGACAUACCAUACGUACGUACGUCCUUAAGCAGUACGUACGUCCUGAACCAAACACCAAACUUGAGACACACGACGCGAAGACAAGGACAUGGGACGACGCGCGUACAAUCAGGUUUUCUUAACAAUGAACUCAAGGCGAAAUAACCAAGGACACUUUGUCACAAAAUUGAUGUCAAACCACUUCGUGCCGGUUUCACAUAAGCCCCCUCUUUUUAGGUCGGCUGUAGUAGUCGGGCUGAAAAGACUAAGAACUCUGAUCGAUGCUGAUUUGUAGUUUGCUUUUUUGAAUCCGCGGAUGUGGCAGUCAUGCAGGCCUGUCUGUACUAAUCAUGGCGCUUUUAAGGGGAAGUGGAUGAUUUUCCUCGAGCAGUUAUCCGUGUAGUUAUGGCAACUGACGCACGUAUUGCUUGAUUUAAUAUCUGUCUUGCACGUGGACUGAUCCAACGGUGGAUACAAACCGUUUUGUGAGUGGAGAAUAACUGCAAUGCAUAUUGAUCCUUUGGUCGAUCUCAGCCGUUCGUUUGUUUUGAACCGAUGGCUGGAAAUGCUUGAGCUACAGUAUAUAAACUGUAGUUACCUUGAGAAGGGUUUACCUAUCUUGCCUUUACUUGAAUUGCUGCCGCUUUUCAGUUGCGAUCUGAAGAACUUUGAGAGUUCGUGAGGUUUGUUUUCUCUUCUUGUUAUUUCUUUGAUCUUCUGUUUUGUUUUCUUUCACCUUCUGUUUUCUUGUAUAUUGGUUGAGAGAAAUGUCUGACGCUAGUGACUCUCAAAAUGAUCACUUGAGUGGUGGUGGUGAUGAGGAGAUUGAGUCUGAGGGUACUCGAUCUGACACUCCGUCUCCCGUUCGUGAUGAAGAGGUAGAUAGUCCUCAGAGUAGUGGUUCUCAUGGGGCAGACUCAUCUGAUGAUGAAUUGGUGGAGGGAGACGGUGGUGUAAUGUGUAGGGUUGUAAAUAUGAAUUAUGUAAAUAGGCAUAUCGUAGUUAGGAAAAUGUAUGGGUUUAGGUCGAUAGGCAUUUGGAGAUUAGAUUUCUAGGAGAUCGUUUACUUUCCCCUGAGUAUCGACCUAAUAACCCUUUCUCAACUGUUUUUACUUUGCCCCAAUUCCGUGCUGGGUUGAGGUUGCCAUUGUCUCGAUUGGUGGUCGACCUGUUGAAUGCCAUUAGUCGAGCCCCAUGCCAGAUGAAUGGUAAUUUCUGGCGGAAUAUGAGGGUAAUUGACGACCUCAACAAGUUGCAUAGGUGGAACAUUACAGUGAAAGAUGUACUGAACCACUUUAGCUUCAAACGCUCCUCGAAGGUUGAACUCUCGGGCUAUAACAUGCAAGUUAGGCCAGACCGUUUGCCAUUAAUCUAUCCAGUAAGUAGCGAGCCAUGGUGGAAAGAUCCCAUGCUGCUUACUGGGUCGAUUGUUGAAGGGGAUAUCCAGUUGCGUCAUACGAUUAGGAAUGACGCUCGUAAGUUUGUUGUCUGUAGUACUAGGAUUGUUGAUUUGUCUUCCUGUUUCUGAACUUGACGUCUUUGUAUUUUUUUGUUGCAGCGAUCCGGGACGAUCAUUUGAUUAGAAAAAACGAUCUGAAAUCUGCUCUGAACAACUUUGGUAAGUUGAGCGACGAGCGGAAGAUCUCGUUUCUACCCCACCUAAAGGAGCAUUUUAUUCCUAAAGGUGGUCCAAAAACUGUUUGGGACGAGCUCGAGAGGAGGAAAGCUUUGAAGAAAGCAUAUAUGUCUUCUGUUCACAAAUCUGCAGGUGGGCGAUCUGGUAGUAGCUCGCGAGCUGAUGACAGCGAACGGGCUAGUGGUGGUUCGAGGCAGGGGGAGAGAGAGCGUUCUGUUGGUGCUCCUCGGAGGUCGGAAAAGAGUCGACCUGUUGACAAGGAUCGACCUCUGGUGCAGGAACGAUCUGUGGAGAGGGAGCUACCUGUGGAAAGGGAGCGCUCUGCUGGUAGUUCUCGCCAGGUUGAAGCAAUGGCGAGCCCUCCAGUCUCCAGUCCUCCCGCCUCACUUCCUAAAGUAGGUGCCUUGGCUGGGAAGAAGAGGUCCUUCGCAGGGAACCUUAAGCUGAUGAAGUUCCCAGCUAUGCCAGCCCCUGUUUCUUCAAUGCCUUUGACGUCUCCUGGGAUGUCGGCUUUGUCCAGGAAGACUGCUCCUCGGCCUUUGCAGAAAGGCAAAGGUACUUUGUCUGAAUUCCGCCCCGGGCCAUUCGAUUAUUUGGAUGGUCAAGGAGAGAAGCAUGUCGUUUAUGAUAACGACAGUGCUAUCGAUGACCCUUGCGUUGCCCGGGCUGUGAAUGAGGGUAUCGUCCUGGAUGCUGAUGCCCGAGCAGUGAAGUCGCAGCCUUUGUUGGUGACCUGCUCGAAGAUAAAUGCGGCGCUGUCUUUUGUGAGUGUGAGCAUAAGUCGUAUUUGUCUUGUUUAUGCUUUGACAUUUGGUCUAAAUUCUGUUGUUGGUUGCAGCUCAAUGCCAGCUUCCAGGAGGUGCGUCUGGUUGCUGAGAUUGGUGCUCAAGCUGAAAUUGAGUUGAAGGCGCUCAACGAGAAGCUCGAGCAGGCGAAGAACAUUGCUGUCGUUGCUGAGUGCAAGGUUAAGGACAGGGAUGCCCAGGUCGCUUCGCUGAAGGAGACGGUGGAGCAAUUAAAGGAACGUAAUGCUGCUUCUCAAUCUUCUGCUGAGUACUGGCAGAGGGUAUGUCAGGAGAAUAAAGCGGCGUGGAAGACCUACUGCGACCAACUGGUGAAAGCUAUGACGGGGUCGCCCGAAGGAGAGGAGACGCGAGGUGGUGUUGAGGGUACCUUGGCGCCAGCUCAGGACGCCUCGAUGGGCCCUAGUGACCAGGUCGCUGGAGUCCUUGUUGAAGUUGAUGCUUCAGGCGACCAGUCUACGCAGCAGUAAGCUGGCCUUUGUGUCCCUUUUCUUGUAUUGGGUAACCUUGUGCAAAGCUUGCUUCUUGCACUCAUUGUUCUUGCAGUAUGUCUUCUUGUACUCCUUGUACUUGGCAUAGCUUCCAGAGCGCAUUCUUGAGAGCCCCCUUGUAAUUUUGAGAGCUUGAGUGGAUAAUUCUUUGACUUUUGUAUUUUACCAUCAGUAGUCAGUUUUUACUUUAACGAGCUUGAAGUUCUUCUGAGCAGCUAGUUUCCAGGGAGUCCUGGUAGCUCGUUCAGAAGGCAGGUAGACGAGAUGAAUGGCUGCAAGCAGGACGUACUGAAACAGUUCCUCUUGUAUGCCUUAAUUCUAUUUUGGUUGUACCUGUAAUUGUUAAAAUCUCAUAAAGUAAAAAGUUAAUUCAACGAUUUACCUUGCAUUGUUGUUCAUGUCGUUUUGUCUGCUUGAAUGGGAUUUGCAAACAAUAAGUAACAUUUGCUCGACCUGCUGGGGUUUGAGGUCGCAUACAAUAUAGUUGUGCUUGGGUCGUGGGAAGAGAAUGACCAAUGCACCAAGUUAAGUUGCUAGUGAUUUAACUUAACAAACUUUUAAAUUAUCAAAGGGACUAGAGUUUUGAUAAUUUGUAGGUCGAGGGAUUGGACCUUUAGUAGCCAUUCAUGUUUGAGCAGAGAUGAAGGCGAAAGUGAAUUUAUACAUUGAAAUGCAAUGAAUGGAUGCUUACAUUUCAUUGAUAAAAUUUCUUUAAGUGAAAAGCAUUCCAUGGGUUCUUAACGAUCUCCCCUUCUGGUGUUUGAAGACGAUAAGAACCGUUGCUCUGGACCUUUGUGAUAAUGUAAGGACCUUCCCAAUUGGCGUUCAGUUUGCCAAUCAUGUCCUUUCUUUUGUUGUGGAACAUUUUCCUUAGGACUAGUUCCCCUGGCUGGAAAGUUCUUGGUCGCACGCCUUUGUUAUAAGCUCGCUUGAGUCUCUGUUGGUAUUGCUCGAGCUUUAUAGCGGCGUGGUUACGUCGUUCUUCGAGGAGGUCGACUCCAAACGACCAGGCUUGAUUGUUGAGCUCAGUGUCGACCAAAAGUGAUCUGGUCGUUCCAAAUGUUAGCUCGGUGGGAAUAACUGCCUCAACUCCGUAGCAUAGGCUGAAAGGUGACAUCCCAGUGGACGUACGAGGAGUUGUUCUAUAGGCCCACAGGAUGUUUUCCAAUUGCUGUGGCCAUUGAUCAUGCUGGUCUUCGAGCUUCUUCUUCAAAUUGUUUAGAAUCUGUCGAUUUGCAGCUUCGACCUGGCCGUUGGCUUGCGGGUAUCUAGGAGUUGACCUUGAAUGCUCGAUUUUCCACAGGUCGUAGAAUUUUUUUAUAUUCUUGCCAACGAACUGAGUGCCAUUAUCUGUGACUACUCGUUUUGGUAGUCCAAACCUCGUGAUGAUGUUUUCCCACAUGAAUCUUUGGACAUCUGCUUGUGUUACGUUGGUUAGUGCAACAGCUUCUACCCAUUUAGUGAAAUAGUCGACGGCCACUAGAACGAACCUCUUCUCAGACUUCUUUUCUUUGAUUAGGGGCCCCAUGAUAUCGAGCCCCCACAUGUGGAAUGGCCAUGGUGCAGUGAUGUUAAUGAGAUCAUUCGGAUGCUGGUGUUGCUUAUCAGCGAAUCGCUGGCAUUCUUUGCACUUCAAAACAAAUUUCUUUGUAUCUUCCUUCAUUCUUGGCAAGAAGUAUCCCUGAGAGAUUGCUUUAUGGGCUAAGGUACGCCCACCGGAAUGGUUUCCACAUUCACCUUCAUGGAUUUCUUGAAAUAUCAUCUGGCCUUGCUUUGGAAUCAGGCAUCGUAAUAACAAUCCAGUUGCAGAUUUUCUGAAAAGUUUGCCCUCAUGGAUUUUGUACAUCGUGACUUUGUGCAGCAAUCGACUGGCUUCCUUUUUGUCGGAUGGCAGGACACCAGUUUGAAGGUAAACCAUGAAAGGCUCCAUCCAGGUCCCCUGGAUGACUGCUGGAGUUGUUUCUAGUAGGUCGGAGAUUUGAUGAACAUCCUCUUCCUUGAAGAGAUAUGCGGGCUGUGAGUUGAUUGCUAUAGUUAGGGCCCGCGGUCUGUCUGACUCGAUCUUAGAUGCUAGAAAUGCCAAUGAAUCAGCAUGUCUGUUGUCGUCUCUAGGUAUGUGCUCAAUUGUGAAAUAGCUGAGCUUGCUGAUGAGCUCCUUUGCUUUGCUAGCAUACCUGAUUAGGUUGACCCCAUUGAUCUGGUAAUUGUUAGUAAUCUGAUUGACUACCAGCUGUGAAUCGCUGUACACCUUGAGACGAACUGCUUGCAAGUCGAUGUCCAUUUUUAGGCCCUGUAUGAGUGCUUCGUACUCGGCCUCGUUGUUGGAGGUCGAAAAGUCUAUGCGAGUUGCUCUUUCGAGCUGUGAACCUUCAGGAGAGAUUAGCACAACACCUAUUCCACUUCCAUUGGAGUUGUGGGAACCAUCUACAUACAGCUGCCAUGUAUCUGGAGGGUUGUCUUGGACUUGCCUUGUUUCAGGCUCUGGUUCCCAAUUGACAUCCUCUGCUGGAUAGUCUACCAAAAAGUCUGCGACGACCUGGCCCUUGACGGCCUGUCGUGAAACGAACUCGAAAGUGUAAUCACCCAGCUCGGCUGCCCAUCGAGCCAUACGACCUGUUUUGUUUUUCUUUUCUAGUAUGUGGCGUAAUGGCUGAUCGGUGAUUACUUUUACAGUGUGGGCUUGGAAAUAAGGUUUGAACUUGCAUGCAGCGUAAAGUAAAGCCAAUGCUAACUUCUCUAGAGGUGUGUACCUUAUUUCGGCCUGCUGUAAGACUUUGCUUGUGAAAUAGAUAGGUCGCUCGACCUGGUUCUCUUCUUUAAAGAGUACUGCGCUGAUCGCGAAAUCUGAUGUUGCGAGGUAAACGCCGAGUACAUCUCCAUCGUUGGGCCUUGUGAGAACUGGUGGAGUAGACAGAUAUGCCUUGAGAUCAUUGAAGGCCUUCUCGCAUUCUUCUGUCCACUCAUAUGUAGCCCCCUUCUUUAGGAUAUGAAGCAUUGGUCUGCACUUAUCUGAUGCUCUUGAGAUGAACCUGUUCAGAGCUGACACCAUGCCGUUGAGUUUUUGGAUUUGUUUCUUUGUUUUUGGGCUUGGCAUGUCGAUCAGGGCUCUGAUCUGGUCGGGAUUUGCUUCAAUGCCUCGUCUGGUGACUAGGUAGCCGAGGAAUUUUCCUGAUGCAACCCCGAACAGACACUUUUCUGGAUUAAGACGCAUUCUGUAUUGCCUUAAUAUUUGGAAUGCCUGGUCGAGAUUGUACAAAUGAUCUCGUUCUUCUCCCUCCCAGUGAGGGCUUCUUCAAGCUUUAUGUAACGAUCUACCUUCAGGUAGAGCUCGUCAAGCGAUGAAGGUCUCUUCAUUGCUAAAGACUUGUGGAGGUCGGACCCUUGGAUCAGACCGUGAGAGAAAGCAAUAUUUGCAAAGGCCUCAUGCUCCUUUGCGAAAUCCUGAAUGGAAUGCAAUUCGGAUUUAAAUCGAGCAAAAAAUGUGCUAAGAGACUCACCAUCUUGCUGCUUGACUUUGAAUAUGGAAUCGAUGGUGACAGGGCGCUUCUUGUUAUGGAUGUAAAAGAUGACAAACUGUUUCUCGAGCUCUGCAAACGAGCUGAUGGAUCCUGGCUUCAAUCGAUGAAACCAGUCGAGAGCUGGUCCAGUGAGGCUGGACUGGAACAGCAAACACAAAAGAUGAUCUUCCUUGAUCAGUGGGAGAGACUUCCGGAAUCCCUUGACGUGGUCAGUUGGAUCUCCGACCCCUGCAUACUGGUCAAACUUGGGUGCAUUCAGCUUGUUAGGCAAAUCGUGUUCCAGGAUCUCCUUAGAGAAAAGAGACUACUGGAACUGCUGGAGGGACUGGACAGCAAGUUGUUCUGCAGUGUGGCUCUUGGAACGGUGGAGGAGAGCUUGUGAUGCUUUGAACUCCGCCAGUUGUUGACUGAGUUGCUCGUAUUUCUGAUUGGAAUCGUCAGCAGGAACGACUCCAUGUCCGCUAUUUUCACCUUGCUGGCGGUUGGUUUGUGUGGCUUUCAGGCGUGCAUUUUUUUCCUGCAAAAGAAUAAUUUGAGCAUGCAGAUUGUUGAUAGUUAACUCUGUGGUAGUCAUUUCGAAUGAGUGAUUUCUGAGUUUGGGGUGGGAGGGUUUGGGUUUUUUCGAUUAAAUCGAAUUCCUUGCAGUCGGCGCCAAAUGUAUUAACCUAUUUCUAGAUUAAUGCAUCAACAAGGUCAGGUCGUUGUGGAGACUUGACCAAAUGGGGGUGUUUGAGAUCGGGGUGGCUGCACCUCGUUGAGAUCGAGAUUGCCUACGUACUCUAGCUCGGGAGAAUUCAACUUCGAGAUCAAGCCAUCGUAGUUCUGUUUAUAUAGAAGAUAGAAGGGCGUGGAUCUUGGAUCUUGCAGAUUCUCCGCCAUCAUAAUGAGGAAUAAAUGAGUAACGCGCGCGGAUCAUCCCUGUGAAUUAAUUAUGUAACUGAUGAGAAUAUUCUGUGCAUUGAAUGAGAGCACGUGUGUAUAGCAGGUCGCUGCUCGUUGUGUGGUCAGGACGCUUCGGUCGAGCUGCUAGACGGUAGAGACCGUGGCGACCUGAUGGAUGGAUGACUGUGCCACGUGGCUGCUUUUGAUUGGUCGAAGUAUGUAGUACCCCUACAAGAAUUAUCUUGAAAAUUUCAAAAGCAUUCUUAGGCUAACAUUUGUAAUGGUGACAUGUAGUUGGAUAUAACUGCCGACUUUGAGAUUCAGAAGGAUGCAUUGGAAGGAAUCACCGAAGCUGAUGCUGGUUACAACUGUGGCACUAGCAAUGGGGCUUCUGGAAGAAGCGCAUUGGGACCAUUCGGUCUAUUAGUUCUUGCAGAUAAUAGUCGUACGGAGCAGACAGCUGUUUACUUUUACAUUGCAAAAGGCACAGAUGGAAAUCUCACGACCUUCUUUUGCACCGAUCAAUCCAGGUAUAACUUUUUCCUAUCUGUCGCAAGCCCCUGCAUCUGCUAAAUUAAAAAAAUUGUCAGUAUAAUUUUCACAUCCAUGGUACAUUUUGUUGAUUUCAAACUUAACUGAGAAUUGGUUAAUCUUGUCAUGUCUAUGAAUUAGAUGAAAUGAAGCCUUAGACCUGAUAUACGCAAUUUUCACUAAAACUGUGUUUGCUGCAGAUCUUCAAAGGCCACAGAUGUCAGUAAAGCAAUUUAUGGGAGUAUAGUUCCUGUGCUUGACAAUGAGAAAUUCUCAGUGAGAAUAUUGGUAAGUUGACACAAUGAGCUUGCUUGGAAUAUAUAGAACAAGUAAAGUUGUUUAACAAAAUACUUUAUUACUACAGAAGUACAUUUGUACUGAUUUCCGUAAUACCAUGUACCGAUUAUUAAAGAUAAUAAAAUGAUAUUUACUCUGUUUGUAAAAUAUUUUGUGCAGGUUGAUCACUCAAUAGUCGAAGCCUUUGCUCAAGGUGGGCGGACUGUUAUUACAUCUCGAGUAUAUCCAACAAAAGCUAUUGGAGGAGCAGCUCGAGUGUUCCUUUUCAACAAUGCAACUGGAGCAGCUGUUACUGCCACUUCAGUCAAAAUAUGGGAAAUGGAUGCUGCAUUGAUGAAAUCCUACCCUGAUCAGCAAACAGCAUAAACCAAAUUUAAUUUUUCCGGAUUCCCAUCAAUUGUAUGCUUUCAGCCCACCAAUGACCUUGCCAUUGCAUGUUAGUUGUUUCCCUUAUAUCUGUAACAUUUAUUCAUUGAUCUCAUUUUUAGCUGAGCUGUGAUCGGCUUAUCAGCAUGCCAUUUGUUAGCUGUGUGUGUAGUAUUCCUUUGGAAUGAAAUGCAGAAAAUUUUCUUGUAGAGAACAGGACUAGUACUUCAACUUUUUUAUCCAUAAUGUGGAUUUUUCAUGGUAACAAACUAACAAUAAAUCAAAGCCAUGUAUUACCUGUACUAAUAAUGCACCUGCAGCAUCACCAAAGUGAAUACACAUCCCUCUGGCAAUCCAAUUCACAACAUAUCGAGAAGGAGAUCGAAUCAGCUCCAAUCACCAGGACAUGCAUUUUGGAACCUACCCACUGCAAUUUCAACAAGUACACCUUAUAACUGAAAACAAGAAAAGCAAUUAAGCAAACCAUAUGAACUAAUCGCCUUAUGACUGGCAGACAAUAUACUAGACCAAGGUGCUUUCUGGAAUUCAUGUGUAAUGGAAUUCUAUUUCUCAAACUACUUGCAGUACCGAACCAAACCAAUACAUUGCGUCAUUACUCAUUAGGUGCUACUUGAUGCCAAGAAUUAAUCUUUGAUAAAAGAGUUUUGACAGUUAAAAGCAGUGUGUGCAACUGGAUCUUUCACUGUCUAGUCUUUAGAAAUGCUUUAGAUAAUUUUACUAAGAAAUGAGAUGAUGUAAUAAGAACAUUACAGGCUGAUGUUAGGCAUCAAUAUAAUCACACCCUAUUUGGAAUGAAAUAGUUGGAUUUAUAUAUACAAUUAUCUCUUCAGAAAUAUCGAUCAGUCACUCCCACCACAUUACUUGUUGUCUGUUGAGGUGAACCAAGUGUCAUGGAUAAAUAAUAAUAUAUGUCCAAAAUAUCUACCUCUUAGGAUAAGAAAGAUGACAAGGCAGACAUGUCACAUGUGCACUAGUCGAAUUU